AGAAAUGGGGACACGUAAUCUGUGUCCCAUUCAUAGUAAGGCCUGCUGAUCAAUAUAUGGGUAUUCAUCCGCAAUUUAUUGGGUAUUCAAAGGGUGAACCUUCAUAAGGUUACAUGCUUGCAUGCAUUAGCAGGAUUACUAUAUCGAUGUCCCUUUGGUUUAUGAAUUACUUCACUUGGUUUGAGGUUUUAAAAAGUUAACUUCAUUGUGCCGCCCAAAAAUGAAAACUACUCCAAUAUCACAAUAGAAUUCAUCUUUGUCAUAGUGGAAUAAUAGUAGCAUCAAGAGCAUGUUAACUUAUGUAGAUUUUUAGUUUGAAUUUUAAUUAUGUCAUUUUCUGUAGUAUAAAGUUCUUGUGAAUCCAAUAAUCAAUAUUUAACCGAACCACUGAUAUAGAUUAGCUAUGUUAUAAUUUUGGCUGUCAACACAUCCACAUGGCCAUUGCAACUAUAACCAUACGGAAUACGUUUUCCUGCCAUAGUCCACACGCAGGUACAAUAAAUGCAACAUGUAGUCACAAUAGCAAUUUCAAACUUUUUUUAACUGGAUGUGUGCGCAGAAGCAUAUCAACUUUCAUUGAUUAAACAAACAAAACAAAGUUACAAAGAAAGCUGGAAAAAUUAAACUUCUUGAUCAGUGAGACAAAGCGUCGCUGAGGGAGGGCCAUGAAAUUGCAUGCCAAGAAAUCACUAGCGAGUGCAAGAGCAAGAAGUCCAUGCCGCUUAGCAAAGGUCAAUUUCGCAGAGCACCAAACUCAAAUCUGUUGUUCCCUUCUUACUUAGUAAGUUCGCUAAGCGCCUAAAAAAUAAUCAUAUAGGAAAGCAUUUGUGUGAAAAUUUCAGAUCUAUUUAGAAAUUGUACACUACAAAAAAUCAGACAUGUUGAAUAAAAAAUAAAAAAUGGCGAAGAGUGAAAACAAAUAAGGAC
rnacentral:lncRNA from 1 species